rnacentral:lncRNA from 1 species
AGUAAAUCAAAACAAAAAUUACAUUUAGCUCUUCAACUUUUCCAGCAAACAAACAUCUCAAACACAAAAACGACAGACUACAACAAACAAAUUACGACCACCCUUACAAACUCAUAAGGGAAAAGAGUAAACCCCAAGUAUCUGCCCAUAAGCAAAUAUGUCGGUUCUAACAUUUGCAUGAGUUGAAAUGACCAUAAAUUAAAAAAGUUAAGCAUUAUUUCUUUAUGUGUACAUUAACAUGGCAAUGCUUGAGGCUGUUUUCAAUAUUGUGCAGAUGAUAACAAAAUUGUUCUCUUUUUAUGUAUGUUCUUCUUGAUUUUGUCGUUUUUUUUUUUCUAAUUUGAAGUUUUGAUAUCUGUUGUUCCAUGCCAAGCUGCGCAUAUGUUAUAUUUAAUUGCUACUGGUUCUCUUCUGAUUUGAAUUACAAGGUAAAAGAGUCUUGACUGUAUAUAAAUUGAUAUGCUCACUUUUGUUUAUUUGUUGUAGAUUUAAAACAUCGAAAAUAAGGUAAAUAAAUACGUAUUCAAUAUUAUCUUUUGUCUUUAACUAGUUAGAAUUUUCUUUCUUUGUUAUUAUAAAGAUCUUUAGUCAAAAAGUUAAAGCGAGUCCAAUUAUAUAUUAUCUCUAUUUUGUUCUCUUUUGUGGGUAACACUGUUGGAGAAAGGUUGGGUUCUGAGAUAAUCGCGGAACAAAAGGCUUAUUUUCAUUUGAUUGUGACAUGUUUUAUUUUCUAUUAUAUUUAUAUUUUUUUCUAUUUAGGAUUAUUUACUUAGUAAUAUUCUUUUUGUUUACUUUAAUAUAGGACUACUGAAAGUUAUUACCAAUCUUAAGAAGUACUUUUAAGAUAAGUAAAUAAGCAUGUGUUUUUAUCUUUUUAGGUAGCUAAAUUUUUUUACAUUUUAUUAGCGUGUAACUCUUUGGGCAAAAAGUUUAAGAUGGUCCAGGCGUGUCACUUGUGUUUUGUUUUCUUUUUUUGAUACAACUCUUUUAAACGUGGAUUAUGAGGUAUCCGAAGAAUAAGAGGUUUGUCUUCCUUCUUUUAUCAUAUUUUUUUUAUUUUAUUUUGUUUUUUUAUUAGCUUAAUUAAUUUUUUUUUUUGAUGGAGUUGGAGAGCGCAUCAUCUAUCACAUUAAAUUUUAAAAAGUUUCCGGACGAAGCUCAAAAAGGAGAUCUACUACAUGGUCAUUUUAGUGGAAAAGAAGGUUUGUGGUUCGAUUUGAUAGUAAAUACUAGUGAUAGCGGGAACCCGUCUUCAUCGGUUGCAGUGGCAUUUGGUCGGCAAUCUCUUUUGAUUCUUCAGUGUUUCUAAUGAAGUUGCAUUUACUGAAAUGGUACUCAGGAUAUUGGAGCUGGUCUAUACAGUGGUUAGGUACUAAGAGCUGCUGUGUUUUAUGAGGUAUCUCUUUCUUCUUGUCUUUCACAUUAUAUUUCUUGAGCUUUGGUAUGCUUGUCUUGUUUCUCGCGUCGCUGGCAAGAGGACGGAGGUCUUGAUCAUUCUUCAAAAUUGUGCUGUAAGUGAUGAAAAUUCAAAUUUCUAUUUUAAUGAUUUUGCAUAUUUACUGGUUGUAGCAAACCUGAGAAUACUUGCUCUCUUGCUUACGCUAGCAGGUACUCUGUAUAGCUUGUUGCGUGUUUUACGGUCUGUGAGCGAUAAAAAGAGGGGAAGUACAUACGAGAAGAGACUAGAGCGCAGAGAAGAGAGUUCGUAUGAAAUUUUACCUCAUUAUUUAUUAUCUGAUUCGUCAACUAUUUCUAUUAUUUUACUAACUAAUCAAGCAAUAAUUUUUAAUUUAUGCUAUCAUAACUUAGUCGAAUGAUCGAUUUGAAACCUAAAAAUCUACGUCAUGCUAGAUCGAUAUGAACAAAGCAAAGUAAACAAAUUAUGAUUAGAAAUUGAAAUUCGAAUAAAAAUGCAAACAAACUCAAAUACAAUUAUAAAUCCAAGUAUACUGAAGGAAAAAUUCAAUUGAAUUUUUUUUUUUGGCAAUCCCAAAUAAAUGAAACAAACAACUAACUCGAAUGAAAUUAUAACAAAUUAAAACAACAAGUAGACGUUGAAAUUCUAAUAUAAUUACAAACUCAAGUAAACCAAAACAAAAAUAACACUUAGCUCUUCAACUUUCCCAGCAAACAAACUUCUCAAACACAAUAAUGAGAAAUUACAACAAACAGAUUACAACUACCCUUAAAAACAAACUUAAAUACAAGUAAACUAAAACAAAAAUUACAUUUAACUCUUCAACUUUCCCAGCAAACAAACAUCUAAAAUACAAAAACGAUUGACUACAACAAACAAAUUACGACUGCCCUUACAAACUGAUAAGGAAAAAGAGUAAACUCCAAGUAUCUGCCCAUAAGCAAAUAUGUCGGUUCUAACAUUUGCAUGAGUUGAAAUGACCAUAAAUUGAAAAAGUUUAUCAUUAUUUCUCUAUGUGUACAUUAACAUGGCAAUGCUUGAGGCUGUUUUCAAUAUUGUGCAGAGGACAACAAAAUUGUUCUUUUUUUAUGUAUGUUCUUCUUUAUUUUGUCGCUUUUUUUUUCUAAUUUAAAGUUUUGAUAUCCAUUGUUCCAUGCCAAGCGGUGCAUAUGUUACAUUUAAUUGCUAUUGGUUCUCUUAUGAUUUGAAUUACAAGGUAAAAGAGUCUUGACCGUACAUAAAUUGAUAUACUCACUUUUGUUAAUUUGUUGUAGAUUUCAAACGUCAAAAAUCACGUAAAUAAAUACGUAUUCAAUAUUAUUUUUCGUCUUUAACUAGUUAAGAUUUUCUUUCUUUGUCAUUAUGAAGAUCUUUAGGCAAAAAGUUAAAGAGAGUCCAAUUAUAUAUUAUUUCUGUUUUGUUCUCUUUUGUGGGUAACACUGCUGGAGAAAUGUUGGGUUCUGAGAUAAUCGCGCAAUAAAAGGUUUAUUUUCGUUUGUUUGUGACAUAUAUUUUAUUUUUUAUUAUAUUUAUAUUUUUUUCUAUUUAAGGUUAUUUACUUAACAAUAUUCUUUUUGUUUACUUUAAUAGACGACUACUGAAGGUUAUUAUCAAUCUUAUGGAACACUUUUAAGGUAAAUAAGCGUGUAUUUUAUGUUUUUAGGUAGCUAAAAUUUUCAUACUUUGUUAGUGUGUAACUCUUUAGGCAAAAAGUUUAAAAUGGCCCAGGCGUGUCACUUGUGUUUUGUUUUCUUUUGUUGAUAACACUCUUUUAAACGUGGAUUAUGAGGCAUCCGGUGAAUAAAAGGUUUGUCUUCCUUCUUUUAUCAUAUUUUUCUGUUUUAUUUUAUUUUUUUAUUAGCUUAAUUUUUUUUAAAAAAAUUUUGAUGGAGUUGAAGAGAGUUACAAUGCUAACUAUUUGCACAUCAUCUAUCACAUUAAAUUUUAAAAAGUUUCCAGACGAAGCUCAACAAGGAGAUCUACUGCAUGACCAUUUUAGUAGAAAAGAAGAUCUGUGGUUCGAUUUGAUAGCAAAUACUGGUGAUGGCGGGAACUCGUCUUCAUCUGUUGCAGUAGCAUAAUGUCAGCAGUCUCUUUUGAUUCUUCAGUGUUUCCAAUGAGAUUGCAUUUACUGAAAUGGUACUCAGGAUAUUGGAGCUGGUCUAUACAGUGGUUAGAUACUAAGAGCUGCUGUGUUUUGUGAGGUAUCUCUUUCUUCUUGUCUUUCACAUUAUAUUUCUUGAGUUUUGGUAUGCUUGUUUUAUUUCUCGCGUCACUGGCAAGAGGACGGAGGUCCUGACCAUUCUUCAAAAUUGUGCUGUAAGUGAUGAAAAUUCAAAUUUCUAUUUUAAUGAUUUUGCAUAUUUACUGGUUGUAGCAAAUCUGCGAAUACCUGCUCUCUUGCUUACGCUGGCAGGUACUCUGUACAGCUUGUUGCAUGUUUUACGGUCUAUGAGCGACAAAAAGAGGGAGAGUAGGUACGAAGAAGAGAACCAGAGCGGUAGAGGAAGAGAGUGCGUAUGAAAUUUUACCUCAUUAUUUAUUAUCUGAUUCGUCAACUAUUUCUAUUGUUUUACUAACUAAUCAAGCAAUAAUUUUUAAUUUAUGCUACCAUAACUUAGUCGAAUGAUAGAUUUGAAACCUAAAAACCUACGUCACGCUAGAUCGAUAUGAAAAAAACAAAACAAACAAAUUAUGAUUAGAAACUGAAAUUCGAAUAAAAAUGCAAACAAACUCAAAUACAAUUAUAAAUCCAAGUAUAGUAAAAGAAAAAUUCAAUUGAUUUUUUUUUUGCAAUUCCAAACAUAUGAAACAAACAACUAACUCGAGUGAAAUUACAACAAACUAAAACAACAAAUUUCAACAACAACUACGUGCUGAAAUUCUAAUAUAAUUACAAAUUCAAGUAAACCAAAACAAAAAUAACACUUAGCUCUUUAACUUUCCCAGCAAACAAACAUCUCAAACACAAACACAAUAACGAGAAACUACAAUAAACAAAUUACAACUACCCUUAAAAAUAAACUCAAAUACAAGAAAAUCAAAACAAAAAUUAAAUUUAACUCUUCAAUUUUCCCAGCAAAUAAACAUCUAAAACACAAAAACGACAAACUACAACAAAUAAAUUACGACUACCCUUACAAACUAAUAAGGGAAAAGAGUAAAUCCUAAGUAUCUGCCCAUAAACAAGUAUGUUGGUUCUAACAUUUGCAUGAGUUGAAAUGACCAUAAAUUGAAAAAGUUUAGCAUUAUUUCUUUGUGUACAUUAACAUGGCAAUGCUUGAGGCUGUUUUCAAUAUUGUGCAAAGGACAACAAAAUUGUUCUCUUUAUGUGUCUGUUUUUCUUGAUUUUGUUGCUUUUUUUUCUAAUUUAAAUUUUUUAUAUCCGUUGUUCUAUGCCAAGCUGUGCAUAUGUUACAUUUAACUGCUCUUGGUUCUCUUCUGAUUUGAAUUACAACGUAAAAGAGUCUUGACCGUAUAUAAAUUGAUAUACUCACUUUUGUUUAUUUGUUGUAGAUUUCAAACGUCAAAAAUAAGGUAAAUAAACACGUAUUCAAUAUUAUCUUUUGUCUUUAAUUAGUUAAAAUUUUCUUUCUUUGUUAUUAUGAAGAUCUUUAGGCAAAAAGUUAAAGAGAGUCCAAUUAUAUAUGAUUUCUGUUUUGUUCUCUUUUGUGGGUAACACUUCUGGAGAAAUGUUGGGUUCUGAGAUAGUUGCGUAACAAAAGGUUUAUUUUCGUUUGCUUUUGUGACAUAUGUUUUAUUUUCUAUUAUAUUUAUAUUUUUUUCUAUCUAGCAUUAUUUACUUAGUAAUAUUCUUUUUCUUUACUUUAAUAUAGGACUACAGAAGGUUAUUACCAAUAUUGGGGAGCACUUUUAAGGUAAAUAAGUAUGUGUUUUUUAUCUUUUUAGGUAGCUAAAAUUUUUUACAUUUUGUUAGCGUAUAACUCUUUAGGAAAAAAGUUUAAGAUGGUCCAGGCGUAUCACUUGUGUUUUGUUUUCUCUUUUUUAUACCACUUUUUUAAACGUGGAUUAUGAGGUAUCCGAGAAAUAAAAGGUUUGUCUUCCUUCUUUUAUCAUAUUUUUCUGUUUUAUUUUGUAUUUUUAUUAGCUUAAUUUUUUUAACACUUUUUUUGAUGGAGUUGGAGAGAGUUACAACACUAACUGUUUGUGCAUCAUCUAUCACAUUAAAUUUUAAAAAGUUUCCGGACGAAGCUCAACAAGGAGAUCUACUGCAUGGUCAUUUUAGUGGAAAAGAAGGUCUGUGGUCGAUUUGAUAGCAAAUAUUGGUGAUGGCGGGAACUCGUCUUCAUCGGUUGCAGUAGCAUUUGGUCAGCAGUCUCUUUUGAUUCUUCAGUAUUUCCAAUGAGGUUGCAUUUACUGAAAUGGUACUCAGGAUAUUAGAGCUGGUCUAUACAGUGGUUAGGUACUAAGAGCUGCUGUGUUUUAUGAGGUAUCUCUUUCUUCUUGUCUUUCAUAUUAUAUUUCUUGAGCUUUGGUAUGCUUGUUUUGUUUCUCACGUCGCUGGCAAGAGGACGGAGGUCCUGACCAUUCUUCAAAAUUAUGCUGUAAGUGAUGAAAAUUCAAAAUUUAUUUUAAUGAUUUUGCAUAUUUACUGGUUGUAGCAAACUACGAAAACUUGCUCUCUUGCUUACGCUGGCAGGUACUCUGUAUAGCUUGUUGCGUGUUUUACGGUCUGUGAGCGAUAAAAAGAGGGAGAGUAUGCACGAAGAAGAGAACCAGAGCGGCAGAGGAAGAGAGUUCGUAUGAAAUUUUACCUCAUUAUUUAUUAUUUGAUUCGUAAACUAUUUCUAUUGUUUUACUAACUAAUCAAGCAAUAAUUUUGAAUUUAUGCUACCAUAACUUAGUCGAAUGAUAGAUUUGAAAUCUAAAAAUCUACGUCACGUUAGACCGAUAAGAACAAAGCAAAGAAAACAAAUUAUGGUUAGAAACUGAAAUUCGAAUAAAAAUGCAAACAAACUCAAAUACAAUCACAAAUCCAAGUAUACUGAAAGAAAAAUUCAAUUGAUUUUUUUUUUUUCAAUUCCAAACAAACGAAACAAACAACUGACCCGAGUGAAAUUACAACAGACUAAAACAACAAAUUUCAACAACAAUUACGUGCUGUAAUUCUACUACGAUUACAAACUCAAGUAAACCAAAACAAAAAUACUACUUAGCUCUUCAACUUUCCCAGCAAAUAAACAUCUCAAACACAAUAACGAGAAAUUAUAACAAAUAAAUUACAACUACCCUUAAAAACAAACUCAAAUAUAAGUAAACAGAAACAAAAAUUAUAUUUAGCUCUUCAACUUUUCCAGCAAACAAACAUCUCAAACAUAAAAAUCACAAACUACAACAAACAAAUUACGACUACCUUUACAAACUGAUAAAGAAAAAAGUAAACCCCAAGUAUCUGCCCAUAAGUAAAUACGUCGGUUCUAACAUUUGCAUGAGUUGAAAUGACCAUAAAUUGAAAAAGUUUAGCACUAUUUCUCUGUGUACAUUAACAUGACAAUGCUUGAGGCUGUUUUCAAUAUUGUGCAGAGGACAACAAAAUUGUUCUCUUUUUAUAUAUGUUCUUCUUGAUUUUGUCGCUUUUUUUUUUUUUUUUUUCUAAUUUGAAGUUUUGAUAUCCGUUGUUCCAUGCCAAGCGGUGCAUAUAUUACAUUUAAUUGCUAUUGGUUCUCUUCUGAUUUGAAUUACAAGGUAAAAGAGUCUUGACCGUAUGUAAAUUGAUAUACUCACUUUUGUUUAUUUGUUGUAGAUUUCAAACGUCAAAAAUAAGGUAAAUAAACACGUAGUCAAUAUUAUCUUUUGUCUUUAAUUAGUUAAAAUUUUAUUUCUUUGUUAUUAUGAAGAUCUUUAAGCAAAAAGUUAAAUAGAGUCCAACUAUAUAUUAUUUCCGUUUUGUUCUCUUUUGUGGGUAACACUUCUGGAGAAAUGUUGGGUUCUGAGAUAGUCGCGUAACAAAAGGUUUAUUUUCGGUUGCUUGCGACAUAUAUUUUAUUUUCUAUUAUAUUUAUAUUUUUUUCUAUAUAGCAUUAUUUACUUAGUAAUAUUAUUUUUCUUUACUUUAAUAUAGGACUACAGAAGGUUAUUACCAAUCUUGAGGAGCACUUUUAAGGUAAAUAAUCGUGUGUUUUUAUGUUUUUAAGUAGCUAAAAUUUUCAUACUUUGUUAGCGUGUAACUCUUUGGGUAAAAAGUUUAAGAUGGUCCAGGCGCGUCACUUGUGUUUUGUUUUCUUUUUUUGAUACCACUCUUUUAAACGUGGAUUAUGAGGUAUUCAGAGAGUAAGAGGUUUGUCUUCCUUCUUUUAUCAUAUUUUUCUGUUUUAUUUUAUUUUUUUGUUAGCUUAAUUUUUUAAAAACUUUUUUUAAUGGAGUUGGAGAGAGUUGCAAUGCUAACUGUUUAUGCAUCAUCUAUCACAUUAAAUUUUAAAAAGUUUCCAGACGAAGCUCAACAAGGAGAUCUACUGCAUGGUCAUUUUAGUGGAAAAGGUCUGUGGUUCGAUUUAAUAGCAAAUACUGGUGAUGGCGGGAACUCGUCUUCAUCGGUUGCAGUAGCAUAAUGUCAGCAGUCUCUUUUGAUUCUUCAGUGUUUCCAAUGAGAUUGCAUUUACUGAAAUAGUACUCAGGAUACUGGAGCUGGUCUAUACAGUGGUUAGGUACUAAGAGCUGUUGUGUUUUAUGAGGCAUCUUUUUCUUCUUGUCUUUCACAUUAUAUUUCUUGAGUUUUGGUAUGCUUGUCUUGUUUCUCGCGUCGCUGGCAAGAGGACGGAGGUCUUGACAAUUCUUCAAAAUUGUGCUGUAAGUGAUGAAAAUUCAAAUUUUAUUUUAAUGAUUUUGCAUAUUUACUGAUUGUAGCAAACCUACGAAUACUUGCUCUCUUGCUUACGCUAGCAGGUACUCUGUAUAGCUUGUUGCGUGUUUUACAGUCUGUGAGUGACAAAAAGAGGGAGAGUACAUAUGAAGAAGAGAAAUAGAGCGGCAGAGGAAGAGAGUGCGUAUGAAAUUUUACCUCAUUAUUUAUUAUCUGUGUUGUAUACUUCUCAUUUAUUCUUUCAAUUGUUGCAAUAUUUGCAUCUUCAGUAUGAUGAAAUGUUCCCUUCACUAUUUAGUUAUCAUCCUGAUAUAUUUCCUCCACACCUGUCCACAGACAGGAAGCUCAGAACUUGCUCAAUUCCAGUUUAUGGCUUCUUAAUACACUUAGUCUCUCUCUCUCUCUCUCUCUCUCUCUCUCUCUCUCUCUCUUUAAUCAUUCUUAAACUUAAUCUUCAAUCCUAGAAUACGAUCGAAAGAUUUCUUUAGUUGCUUGAAAGUAACUCGUUUACCAUUUGUAAAAUAAUAUGCACUCAUUACAACUUUGACUUUAGCUCAUAGAUAGUGAUAGAUCAAUAUUAUUUUUAAGAAAUGCAACGUAAUUGGUGUUUUUGGGUAACUUGAAUCAGUUAAUAAUUUUCUCAAGAUAAUUUACUUUUUUCUGUAUGGUCUGCUGAUUUUCCCUUUGGAUUAUGGCUAGUAGACAGAAUGACUUGUGAUUGUUAGCAAAUAAAUAAUAUCUUCUUUAAAGAUAUAUUUAAAAUUAGAUAGUUAGAAUAACUAUUUUCAAAUAAGAUUAGGAAUCGAAUGUUGAUUAAUUUUUAUGUAUUAAAGCUGAUAGUUAUUGAAUAUUUAGUGAUGAGCUAGUGAUACAUUCAAAACUAGAUAGUUAGGAUUUGCUUUUUUUAAAUAAGACUAGGAAUUGAUGUUGAUUGACUUUUAUGUACUAAAGUUGAUAGAUACAGAGUACUAGUGACAUGUAAGAAAGUUUUUGUUUUAUUUUAGCUCUGACACAAUGGUCGGUUAGUAUUGUUCUAAGAUAUUCGAUGUAAUUGAUGUUUUAAGAUGACUUCAAUCAUUUUGUAGGUUUUUAGAGGUAGAUGACUUUCUUUUGUAUGGUUUAAUAUUUUUUUUUGUGUUUUGGUAAUAGCCCGUUGUUAGAAAGAUGGUGGUUGUUGGUUGUUAUGUGGUAUUAUCCACAGUGAUUUAUUUAAACUUAGAUGGUUAGGAUUGUUGAGUAAUGUUAGGAACUGGACACUGAUUGAUUUUUUAUGUAUUGAAACUAAUAAGAAUAGAGUAGUUAGUAGUAAGUUUGUGGAGGUAAGUUCUUGUUUGAUUUUAACUACAAGAUAGUGGUAAAUUAUCGUUUCAAGGUAAGUUAGAGGAGAAAAAAAGAUUGUAUAUGUAUGUGACUUUUUUUUGGAUCUAAUUCUAAAAGAUAAUACAUAGUUUGAAUACAAUUACAGUUAAAAGUAAUUUGUAAUUGAAAAAAUUUUUGGCAAACAAAAGUAUCAAGUAAAGAUAACUUAUAAGAUGACAUCACUAGGACAUGAAGAAGAGUUUGGAGCAUCAAAGUUAGGUAGCAAGUUAAUGUACCUCGCAAUAAAUAUACUCAUUUGCUACAUUGAGUGUGUGUAUUGGAUCUUAAUAGUUUACGUAAUGUGGCCUCCGAACAUAUUGCAAAAAACUAUACUUGUAAUAAAAAAAUAAUUUUUUCUAACACUCGAACUAAAUCUACUGCAAGAUUAUAUCUAUGAAUUUUUCAACUACAUAAUUUAAUAAAAAAAAUGCGAAAUAUAGAUUUUGAGCCAAGUUUUCUUACUUCAUUAAAAAAACUAUUAUGGUGUAAGCGACAAAAAAAUUAUGUGACAAAGAAAUUCUAACUUAAAGAUUUAUCACAUGUUAACUUUACUUUAGAUUUAGANNNNNNNNNNNNNNNNNNNNNNNNNNNNNNNNNNNNNNNNNNNNNNNNNNNNNNNNNNNNNNNNNNNNNNNNNNNNNNNNNNNNNNNNNNNNNNNNNNNNNNNNNNNNNNNNNNNNNNNNNNNNNNNNNNNNNNNNNNNNNNNNNNNNNNNNNNNNNNNNNNNNNNNNNNNNNNNNNNNNNNNNNNNNNNNNNNNNNNNNNNNNNNNNNNNNNNNNNNNNNNNNNNNNNNNNNNUCACAUUUUUUUAGAAUUAAUUAAUAAGUGUUUAUCACACAUUCUUAUUUAUGAUAUUUUACUUUUUUAAAAAAAAAAUUUAAUUUAUUAUCUCUUUCUUAAUAAUUACAGUUUUCUAUCAUAAAAAUAUUUUAAUUUUUUAUAAAAUAUAACAAAAAUUUAAAACAACACACUAAGCUUGGGCUCUGUGUAGUUUAACUUUUUUAACGCAGUCGUUGCUUUUUUCUUUUUCUUUUCUUUUUUCUUUAUUUUCCCUUUAAAAGCAAACGGACCGUGCGAUUAGAUUAAAACCCCACAAAAGUUUUCCAAUUCUCCUCUUCAGACCACCUUCUGCCUCUCUUUUACUUCCAAAAAGUUUUCAACGUUCUUUGUUUCCUGAUCUCACCUUGCCCAGAGAGAAGGAGAGAGAUACAAGCACAAAAGAGAGAGAGAAAAAGGGGAAAAUGACAGAAACGACCAGACAUGGAUCUGAAACCCUCCAUUCUCUUCAAUGUCUAGAGGGAAAUAAAAGAAUAUCAGAAAGAGGUAAGGAAAAAGAUGAUAGAAAACAAAUUAGAAUGGUCAUCUUUCUACCAUUCCAUCUCUUUUUCAGUUUCUUGAGAGCAGAGAAUCAAAUAGAGAAAGAAAAGAAGAACAAAGAAAGAAGGAAAAAAGAAGAUCGAAAAGAAGAUAGAUGGGUUUCUCGUAAAGACCCAACACUACUUAGUCAUUCUGUUAAAUUUCAAUCUCUCUUGUUCGCAAGCCUUUCCCAGAGAGAAGGUGAGAAAUACAAACAUAACAGAGAGAGAAAAAGGGGAAAAAGACAGAAACGAGCAGACAUGGAUCUGAAACUCUCCAUUCUCUUCAAGGGAGAUCGAAAAGAAGAUCGAUGGGUUUCUCUUCAAGACCCAACACUACUUAGUCAUUCUGUUAAAUUUCAAUCUCUCUCGUUCACAAGCCUUGCCCAGAGAGAAGGUGAGAAGUACGGACAUAGCAGAGAGAGAAAAAGGGGAAAAAGACAGGAACGAGCAGACAUGGAUCUGAAACUCUCCAUUCUCUUCAAUGUGGAGAGGGAAAGAAAAGAAUAUCAGAAAGAGGUAAGGAAGAAGAUGAUAGAAAACAAAUUAAACUGUCCUCUUUCUACCAUUCUAUUUCUUUUUCAGUUUAUUGGGAGUAAAGAGCCAAAUAGAGAAAGAAAAGAAGAGCAAAGAAAGAGGGAAGAAGAAGAUCGAAAGAAGAGAUGUGUCUUUCUCUUCAAAGACCCAACGGUGGCCGGAGGUAUUUUUACUUAUCUCUUAAUAUUGGUAGGUGAUCAUUCAUGGAGUUUAUUUUUAUUUGGUUCUCCUUUCAUGAAGUUGGCAUAAGUGAUUUAGUCUCUCUUAAUCUGGGUUUACAUAAAUCUUUUUUUUUUAAAAAUUUCUUUUUAUAGUUUCUGUCUUCUUAUUUAUUUAUUCUUCUUAUUUAAUGUUUUUAGUUUUCAUAAAUUUGUUUUGUUAUGUGUAGUAUCUGUUCUUAACUAACUAACUAAUUGUUUCUUAGCAUCAGUUAUUUUCAACUAUAUCUGUAAUGAGGAAUAAUGAAUUGGUUCUCUGUCUCUCUCUGUGUUCUCUUCUCUCUUUUGUUCUCUCUGUCUGUUUCUCACUCUCUCUGCACUUCUCUCUUUGUUUGCUACAUUCCAAACCCUAAAAGCCCUCUUCCUAAAUUUCACACAUAACAUAUUUCUAAAUUAAUUCGAGUUCUUUCUUGUUAUAAACAUUGCAGCAGGUUUCUUAACUGGGGAGAUGUUGUUUUUCUUAUUCCUUUUUACCAUGAUUUAUAGACUUGAAAUUUACUCAAAAGAUAGCAGCAGUUUCUUGUUUUUUCAUUUAAAUAUUCCAAUUUAGCUUUAAUAAUUUUACAGACAAACAAACUAUCUUCUGGAAUUUGAUUUAGUAGGUUCUGUUUUUUAUGGAGUUUGCAAAGUUGAUAUUUUGGUCUCUGUUUCUAAGUACAUUUGACACGUUCCUUUGAGACCCAGGUAGGUUGGGAAUAGAAUAUUAAUGCUGUGGAUAUUCCAUAGUUAUAUGCUAAUGUAUGAAUCAAAUAUGAACAUAUUACCCUUUUCCGAUUGAGGGAACUUUCGAAAAGAAGAAUUGUUUGAUUGAUUACCCUCCCAAAGUAUUCAGAGUAUUCGGGUUUUCUUGAAAACUAACAGCGUAAAAAUGUUACAGCAAUAAUAAAUGUAUUAAAAAUAAAAGCAAGAAUAACGAUUGGAUUUGGAGCUCUAUUGCAUAGAUGGUAAUCUAUAGUCUUUUUUAAUUUUCUAACUUAUUAUUUCUUUCACAAUCUAAAACUUCUUAAAAAACUAUUUUAUCUUGUGAACUUUCCUUUAAAUAUUUUCAUAAUUGGGAAUAUUGUCUAAAAUGUCGCAUAUUUUUCAUUUAUGCUUUCAAUUGUUGCAAUAUUUUCUUUUUCAGUAUGAUGAGAUGUUCCCUUCACUAUUCAUUGAUCAUCCUGAUAUAUUUUCUAUUAUAUAAAUAUAUGUCAAGGUUUAUUUUGCUUUGUUAUGAUAUGAAUUUUAUUUUCUAUUAUAUAUAUAUUUUUUCUAUUUAGAAUUAUUUACUUAACAAUAUUCUUUAUAUUUACUUUAAUAUUCUUUAUGUUUACUUUAAUAUAGGACUACCAAAGUUAUUAUCAAUCUUAGGGAAUACUUUUAAGAUAAAUAAGCAUGUAUUUUUAUUUUUUUGGGUGGUUAAAAUUUUUAUAUUUUGUUAGUAUAUAAUUCUUUAGGCAAAAAGUUUAAAAUAGUUUCACUUGUAUUUUAUUUUCUUUUAUUAGUAGCACUCUUUUAUACGUGGAUUAUGAGGUAUCCGUGGAAUAAGAGAUAUGUUUUCAUUUUUUUAUCAUAUUUUUCAAUUUAGUUUUGCUUGUCUUAAACCUAAUUUAUUUUUCAAAAUUUUCUGAUGGAGUUGGAGAGAGUUACAAUGUUAUCUAUUUCUGCAUCAUCUAUCACAUUAAGUUUUAAAAAGUUUUUUAUUUGGAGAACAAGGAUCACUUUAGUGGAAAAGAAGAUUUGGAGUUCGAUUUGAUGGAAGAUACUGGUGAUAGCAGGAACUUAUCUUCUUCGGUUGCAGGAGUACUUGGUCAGUGAUUUUUUUUGUUUCUUUAAUAUUUCUAAUAAGGUUGCAUUUACUAAAUUGGUAAUCAGGAUAGUACUUGUCUAUUAUGCAGUGGUUUGGUACUCUGGGCUGCUUUGUUGCAUGAGGUAUCUCUUUCCUCUUGUCUUUUACAUUAUAUUUACUGCGUUUUGGUAUGUUUGUCUUGUUUCUCGCGUCGCUGACAAAAGGAAGAAAGUCCUUAUCAUUCUUCAAAAUUGUGCUGUAAGUGAUGAAAAUUCAAUUUUUAUUUUAAUAAUUUUGCAUAAUUACUUAUAGCAAACCUGCGAAUACUGGCUCUCUUGCUUACGCUGGCAGGUUCUCGGUAUAGCCUGUGGUGUGCUUUACGGUCUGUGAGCGAAAGAGGGAGAGUGAGUACGACGAAGAAGAGAACCAGAGCGACAGAGGAAGCGAGUUCGUAUGAAAUUUUACCUCAUGAUUUUAUUAUCUAAUUAAUCAAUUAUUUUUAUUUUUUUACUAACUAAUCAAACAAUAAUUUUUAAAUUAUGCUACCAUAACUUAGUUGAAGGAUGUAUUUGAACACUAAAAACCUACAUGAUUCUAGAUCGAUAUGAACAAUGUAAAGCAAAUAAAUUAUAAUUAAAAACCAAAAUUGGAAUAAAAAUACAAACAAACUCAAAUACAGUUACAAAUUCAAGUACACUGAAAAAAAAUCCAAUUGAUUUUUUUACAAUUCCAAACAAAUGAAACAAAUAACUAACUCGAAUGAAAUUACAACAAACUAAAACAACAAAUUUCAACAACAAGUAGGUGCUAAAAGUCUAAUAUAUUUGCAACAAACUCAAAUAUAAUAACAUACUCAAGUAAACCAAAACAAAAAUUAUAUUUAGCUCUUCAACUUUUCCAGCAAAUGAACAUCUCAAACACAAUAACGACAAACUACAACAAACAAAUUAUAACUACUCUUACAAACUAACUCAAAUACAAUUACCAAGUCAAGUAAAUCAAAACAAAAAUUAUAUUUAGCUCUUCAAUUUGUCCAGCAAAAAACUUCUCAAAAAUAAUGACCAACUGCAACAAACAAAUUACAACUACCUUUAUAAACAAACAAAUUACAACUACCCUUAUAAACUA